rnacentral:rRNA from 1 species
UACGUAGGGCGCAAGCGUUGUCCGGAAUUAUUGGGCGUAAAGAGCUCGUAGGCGGCUUGUCACGUCGGAUGUGAAAGCCCGGGGCUUAACUCCGGGUCUGCAUUCGAUACGGGCUGGCUAGAGUGUGGUAGGGGAGAUCGGAAUUCCUGGUGUAGCGGUGAAAUGCGCGGAUAUCAGGAGGAACACCGGUGGCGAAGGCGGAUCUCUGGGCCAUUACUGACGCUGAGGAGCGAAAGCGUGGGGAGCGAACAGG